CAUGAUAUACUAGGUUUGAGUUUUCAGCUUUCUUUGACAAACACAGGAGAAGUUAUAAGUCAGAAACAUAGACUCUCCAUGAUUUCAGUCGUCAUGUCCUCAUAUUUCUUCAGACCUGAAAAACCUGAGUGUGUUUCAGGUGACAUGACUUUUGUCUUAACCUAACUCUGGAGAGCCUGUGUUCGAAUGUCCCCAUAUUGCUGUUCCACAGAACUGAACAGUGUUAACUUUCUAUAGUGUGGUAUAUUCAUCCCAAACUCUCCCGUGAGCAAUGUUCAAUGAUAAUUAAUAUUUAUUCAUUUCUUAACUGGUCAGAAUGAAGAAUGCUGAAUAUUUUGACACCGUAAUGUUAUGUUGCAGACACCAAGUGACCUGACUGAACCCUCUGGAGACCAUGAAUGGAGUGAGAGAUCCACUUCAUUCUUACAACAGACACCAAGUGACCUGACUGAACCCUCUGGAGACCAUGAAUGGAAUGAUAGAUACACUUCAUCCUUACAACAGACACCAAGUGUUCCGAUCCUGAUGAAACCUUUUGAAGAUCAAGAAAGGAGAUGAAGAUCCACUUCUUCCUUACAACAGACACCAAGUGACCUGACUGAACCCUCUGGAGACCAUGAAUGGAAUGAGAGAUCCACUUCAUUCUUACAACAGGUUACUACUUCUUAUCAUGAUAUACUAGGUUUGAGUUUUCAGCUUUCUUUGACAAACACAGGAGAAGUUAUAAAUCAGAAACAUGGACUCUCCAUGAUUUCAGUCGUCAUGUCCUCAUAUUUCUUCAGACCUGAAAAACCUGAGUGUGUUUCAGGUGACAUGACUUUUGU